CUGGACUGCAGACUUCUAGACAGCCAAAAUAUCUAGGGUCUGCCGGGCGUGGUGGCGCACGCCUUUAAUCCCAGCGCUUGGGAGGCAGAGGCAGGCGGAUUUCUGAGUUCCAGGACAGCCUGGUCUACAAAGGACCCUGUUCAGGACCGUGUUCAGGACAAAGAAGACAUGUUUCCCGCCAUAGGAACUGGGAUGAACCUGGCAUCCUCCUAGAAGCCAGGGAUGUACCUGAACAAAGAGGCGGUUUUUUCCGAGCGACCGUUAUCACGUGACGCAAUGGAGCAGGGGUGGGCCCUUCUGACGACUCCAGUUCGUGUGCGUUCCUGGGAGUGCGCGUGCGCCAUGAUUCGAAGUCAGUCUCCGUACCUUGAUCCACACUGCAUUGAAAGACUGGCACAUGCGGUUGUCAACACUGG
rnacentral:lncRNA from 1 species